rnacentral:rRNA from 1 species
CAACUUUUAACAAUGGAUCUCUUGGCUCUGGCAUCGAUGAAGAACGCAGCGAAACGCGAUAUGUAAUGUGAAUUGCAGACUUUAGUGAAUCAUCGAAUCUUUGAACGCACAUUGCACCCCGUGGUAUUCCGCGGGGCAUACCUGUUCGAGCGUCAUUA